UACGUAGGGUGCGAGCGUUAAUCGGAAUUACUGGGCGUAAAGCGUGCGCAGGCGGUUUUGUAAGCCAGAUGUGAAAGCCCCGGGCUCAACCUGGGAAUGGCAUUUGGGACUGCAAGGCUGGAGUUUGGCAGAGGAGACUGGAAUUCCUGGUGUAGCAGUGAAAUGCGUAGAUAUCAGGAGGAACACCGGUGGCGAAGGCGGUUCUCUGGGCCUUACCUGACGCUGAGGAGCGAAAGCAUGGGGAGCAAACAGG
rnacentral:rRNA from 1 species